rnacentral:lncRNA from 10 species
CGCGACCUUGGCUCACUGCAGCCUCCACCUCCCAAGUUCAAGUGAUUCCCCUGCCUCAGCCUCCCUAGGAGCUGGGAUUAUAGGCACCCACCAUCACGCCUGGCUAAUUUUUGUCUUUUUAGUAGAGAUGGAGUUUCACCAUGUUGGCCAGGCUGGUCUUGAACUCUGUGAGUUCAAGUGAUCCACCCGCCUCGGCCUCCCAAAGUGCUGGGAUUACAGGUGUGAGCCAGCCAGAGUUCCGCUUGACUGUGACCUCACAAUAUGUUUUGGUAGUUCUUUCCCCUUUCCCAUUCACUACAGCUUCCUUCCAAGCCAAAGGCCUUCCCUCCCAGCAGCAAAAGCAGUCAGAGGACGAUGUUCCCUAGUCUAAUCUGCUCUUUCCUUCCUUCAUUCAUUCAAUCAAUCAUUCACGCAGCUGGCCAGCAGACACUGGAUGACCACCCCUGGGCCAGGCCUUGUGGCAAAUGCUACAGUAAUGACCAGACACAUCACACCCGCCUUCUAGAAGCCCUCCCUCACAAACCGGAUCAACUGCUAUGAUAAAGUUUGGUUUCCUUCUUUUCAUGAUUCACCAUUAGAAGAACCCACCCAGGUAAUCACUGCUUGCUCGGAUCCCAGCAAAUUCUAGAUCCCAGAACUAGUGCUCUUAGAGCCAAGGCCAGCCGAUCCAAGUCUGGACUACUGCUCAGAUGAGCCGAGCCUGAAUUUGGGAGUGGUUGUUACAGAGCAUUACCCUGGCAAUAACUGACUGAUGCAGAGAUGUAAAUAGACAUCACUGGUGGAGCCCCCAGGAAAGCUCUUUAACAGAAGACAGACUCAGCUGGCAGGUUUCCCGUCUCCUUGAAUGAAGACAGGCUCAAUGCUUGGAGGGGUGAGAGGAGGCAGCCAUCUUACAACCACAGGUCACAGGAAGACACUAAACAAGGCCGUGUGGAAAGACAGAAGGAGCCUCCAUCCCUCAGCACCACAGAGACAUUGUAUCAGCCUAGAAAUGCCUAAAUCUGAACUUCCUCUUACCUAAGAAAAAUAAAACCUCAAUUUGAUUCAAUCACUGUUUUACAGGUUUCUGCUACUUCUGAUAUAAUUCCUGAUAGAUAGCCAGGCACAGUGGCUCACCUUAUAAUCCCAGCACUUUGGGAGGCUGAGGCAGUCAGAUUACCUUAGGUCAUUAUUUCGAGACCAGCCUGGACAACAUGUUGAAACCUUGUCUCUAUUAAAAAUACAAAAGUUAGCUGGGCAUGGUGGCAGGAGCCUGUAAUCCCAGCUGCUCAGGAGACUGAGGCACGAGAAUCACUUGAACCCGGGAGGCGGAGGUUGCAGUGAGCCGAGAUCACAUCACUGCACUCCAGCCUGGGUGACAGAGUGAGACUCUGUCUCAAAAAAAAAAAAAAAAAAAUUCCUGAUAGACACAGCUAACUAUUGGUAUUAACGCCACAACUGGCCAGGCAUGGUGGCUUACACCUGUAAUCCCAGCACUUUGGGAGCCCAAGGUGGGCAGAUCACCUGGAGUCAGGAGUUCAAGACCAGCCUGGCCAAAAUGAUGAAACCCUGUCUCUACUAAAAAUAUAAAAAAUAAAAAAUAGCCAGGUGUAGUGAUGGGCACCUGUAAUCCCAGCUACUCAGGAGGCUGAGGCAGGAGAAUCACUUGAACCUACGAGUCGGAGGUUGCAGUGAGCCAAGAUCACCCCAUUGCACUCCAGCCUGGGUGACAAGAGUGAAACUCCAUCUCAAAAAAUAAUAAUAAAAUAAAGCCACACCCGUGUUUGAGAUCCCCCAGGAAAAGCAUGAAGGGUCACAAGCAGGUCUCAUGGAAUCCUGGGGAAUGUGACUUAAGAAUGCUGGAGAAGAAGCCCAGAGAAGUGAUUGAGAAGCAGGGAGAGUAGAUGGAGAACCCAGAUGUGUGGUGGCCACAGGCCACAAGAGGAGAGUAUCUCAACAAGAGACAGGGACAGACCAGGCCAAAUGCAGCAGUGAGAUUCAGGCACAUGAGGAAGAAAACUUUUCAAAGGAUUUAGUAAAUGAGAGGUCCCUGACCUUGGCAGGAAAGGUUUAGUUCAGGGCUGGGGACAGAAGCCAAACCACACAGCCCUUUGCAGAAUCCCAGCCCUCUGCAGCUCCCUCCGUGGGGGAUGGACGCUUGAGGAAGGAUGAUGCAAUGGGAGGAAACCACUGCUUGGCCAGCUGCAACCUUGUCCUCACUGCACAGACCAUUUCUCCUCUUUGCCUCCAAGAUGAAAUCUAAACUCAGCUUGGCAUCCAACCCUUGAAGAUGUGGACCCAGCCAGGCUGUGGCCUCCCCUGCCCAGCCUCCCUUCUCCAUAUUGUAGGAUCCCCCCUCCCCCCAUUCCUGGCCUCCAUGUCCACCCUUGGACUGCCCUCCCCUGCUCCACAGACUAUCUGGAGCCUACUCAGCCUUCUGAGGUGGCACAAAUGUCACCCCCUCUAAUGAAGACAAGGUCACUCCUUUAUCUGGGCUCCUUGCACCUCUCUGUAUCUGCCUUGAAUUAUAUUGGCCAGAUUCAAGUGGGAUUUGCUCCCCAGGGUGGGGACAGUGUCUGUGUUUUCCGUUCCCCACAGGGCAGAGCACACCGGUCUGGCAUGAGCAGGAGCCAGUAGCCUUGUUGGGUGGCUAUGGUGUGCCCUGCAAGAGUUUCCCAGGCCAGGGAUACCAAGUGGGCAUCUUCAGGGCCAUGUCUAUCUCCUUCCACUCCUACAGACCUGGCUUUAGAGAGCUCAGGAAGGAAGCAGAACAAUCAACAGAGACACGUGAGGGCUUUCUUCUUCCCCUCUCCUCUCUGGAGGCUUCCCAGAGGGCAGCUGCUUCCUUUCUCUCUUGUUUUAGAACAAGAAGACAUGAUUGUGACCAAAUUUAGAAAACAACCAAAAAUUCAAAUUCAACCCAUAUUUUAAAAUCCAUUUCAACAGCUCCACCCCACUAAAAGGAAUGUCACUUCUGAGCAACGUGGGUGAGGAAUCAGCAGCCGAAGUAGCAGCAAGGUGGGCUGUGGUGUCAUGGAUUUGGGGUCUGAGGGCUGGGGAGGGAAGAGGUCUUCCCACCAAGGACAGACAAACCCACCCCACCCGCAAAUGGGAGGGAUGAUGAGGGAGAGCAGAGCCAGGCAUGAGAGCAGAUGGGCCCACAUUCAAGGAAGUAUCUUCUUGGCUUCUUGUUUCUGCCAAUAGCUGGAAAGGAUGGAUGCUUCUGGAAGCCACCUCAGAGACCAACCACAGCGGAUGGGCCCUCCUUAGCACAGAGCUACUUUUAGCCCAUUGUUCUACUGUGGGGAACAGAGGGAAACCCAGGGAACGAAACAAACAGUGUCACCUGCCUUCUGUAGUAAUAGUAACCAGGUAUGGGAUGUGUCGUGUGUGCCAGGUGCUAUAGCUAGGAGGCUUUUUAAAAAUAUUGUUUCCAGGAAUUCUACAUGAGUCAUGUUGCCUCAGAGAUUUUUAUGAGGGAAAAAAAGGUCUUUAUGAGCCAGAAUGAAAGAGAUUAAUUUGUCAGGAACAAAUGUAAAAGUUUGCUUUGCAAGCAUGGCAUUCAAGGGGCAGUUCUGAUAAAGCAUCAGGAAUGCUGCUGUGUCCUCUGGCCACCAUAAUAGAGAUAAAGGGUCCAGAAUAAAGGAGGCUCUCAUCUCACUGAACUUGGUUCCCG